ensembl:lncRNA ZNF32-AS1 ZNF32 antisense RNA 1
AAACAAGACAUUUAUUUUUCAUACUCUUUUGGGGGAAAGGAAAAAAAUCAGUUUGCCCUACCCAAUGAUGGUCUUUCUGAAAGAUUCUCCAUUCAUUCCAUAGAACUGGAUAGGUUGCUUCAUCUCAGAGGAUUUUGUACUCUUAAUUCAUAAAGAGAACUUCUCUUCAGGAAAGUGGUCAAAGGGUGAGCCUCUGUGAGCAGCUUCGCUGGUGCACAGCCAGACUCCCUCUCUGGUUAGAAUAGGGAAAAAGAAACAUAAUACUUUGAGUGCUUAUGAUGUGCCAGGCCUUAUUCUUUGCAUAGACAAUGCAAUCCUGAAAACAAUGCCAUGAGAGUGAUACAGAUAAUGGGAGCAAAGGGAGCCUGUCAAAGGUCACAGAGCUAGGUAAGUUAGAGCUGACUCAAAUAGGCAUUCUCCAUAGCAGUGUACUG